rnacentral:rRNA from 1 species
AACGGCCAUACCAUGCUGAAUAUACCGGUUCUCGUUAGAUCACCGAAGUCAAGCAUGAUUGGGCGCGGUCAGUACUUGGGUGGGUGACCACCUGGGAACACCGCGUGCUGUU